GAUGAAGAACGUAGCGAAAUGCGAUACGUAAUGUGAAUUGCAGAAUUCAGUGAAUCAUCGAGUCUUUGAACGCACAUUGCGCCCCCUGGUAUUCCGGGGGGCAUGCCUGUUCGAGCGUCAUUUAACCCCUCAAGCCUAGCUUGGUAUUGGGUGCUUGUCCCGCCUCUCGCGCGGCGACUCACCUCAAAGUCAUUGGCAGCCCGCAUCUCGCCGGCCGUGAGCGCAGCACAGACGCGCUCUUGGCAACGACGGAUCGGCUCUCCAAAAGCUUAUUUCAACCACUGACCUCGGAUCAGGUAGGGAUACCCGCUGAACUUAAGCAUAUCAAUAAGCGGAGGA
rnacentral:misc_RNA from 1 species